rnacentral:rRNA from 2 species
UUUAUUGGAGAGUUUGAUCCUGGCUCAGGAUGAACGCUGGCGGCGUGCCUAAUACAUGCAAGUCGAGCGAAUGGAUUGAGAGCUUGCUCUCAAGAAGUUAGCGGCGGACGGGUGAGUAACACGUGGGUAACCUGCCCAUAAGACUGGGAUAACUCCGGGAAAC